rnacentral:rRNA from 1 species
CAGUUGGCGGGGUAACGGCCCACCAAACCGACGAUGGAUAGGGGUUCUGAGAGGAAGGUCCCCCACAUUGGUACUGAGACACGGACCAAACUCCUACGGGAGGCAGCAGUGAGGAAUAUUGGUCAAUGGCCGAGAGGCUGAACCAGCCAAGUCGCGUGAAGGAUGAAGGAUCUAUGGUUUGUAAACUUCUUUUAUAGGGGAAUAAAGUGUGGGACGUGUCCCAUUUUGUAUGUACCCUAUGAAUAAGCAUCGGCUAACUCCGUGCCAGCAGCCGCGGUAAUACGGAAGAUGCGAGCGUUAUCCGGAUUUAUUGGGUUUAAAGGGUGCGUAGGUGGUAAUUUAAGUCAGCGGUGAAAGUUUGUGGCUCAACCAUAAAAUUGCCGUUGAAACUGGGUUACUUGAGUGUGUUUGAGGUAGGCGGAAUGCGUGGUGUAGCGGUGAAAUGCAUAGAUAUCACGCAGAACUCCAAUUGCGAAGGCAGCUUACUAAACCAUAACUGACACUGAAGCACGAAAGCGUGGGUAUCAAACAGGAUUAGAUACCCUGGUAGUCCACGCAGUAAACGAUGAUUACUAGGAGUUUGCGAUACACAGUAAGCUCUACAGCGAAAGCGUUAAGUAAUCCACCUGGGGAGUA